rnacentral:rRNA from 1 species
UAGGGAAUCUUCGGCAAUGGACGAAAGUCUGACCGAGCAACGCCGCGUGAGUGAAGAAGGUUUUCGGAUCGUAAAACUCUGUUGUUAGAGAAGAACAAGGACGUUAGUAACUGAACGUCCCCUGACGGUAUCUAACCAGAAAGCCACGGCUAACUACGUGCCAGCAGCCGCGGUAAUACGUAGGUGGCAAGCGUUGUCCGGAUUUAUUGGGCGUAAAGCGAGCGCAGGCGGUUUCUUAAGUCUGGUGUGAAAGCCCCCGGCUCAACCGGGGAGGGUCAUUGGAAACUGGGAGACUUGAGGGCAGAAGAGGAGAGUGGAAUUCCAUGUGUAGCGGUGAAAUGCGUAGAUAUAUGGAGGAACACCAGUGGCGAAGGCGGCUCUCUGGUCUGUAACUGACGCUGAGGCUCGAAAGCGUGGGGAGCAAACAGG